rnacentral:misc_RNA from 1 species
ACCGUUGCCUUAGGGAUCACAGAACAGCUGAUUACAUUAUAAGGUGCAAAAAAGCCGCGGCUUCAGGGCUCUCACUUUUAAGGUAAUUACCUUAGUUUAAGGUAAUUUAGAUACUUUUAAGUUAAUGUCUAAGGUAAUGCAAUUUUUAAGGUAUUUCUAAGGUAAUUUGAGUAUAUUUAGGGUAGUGUUUAAGGUAAUUGUUAAAUGCAAUUCUGAUAUACUGUAAUAGCCAAAAUGGGAUGAUAUUUAUGGUUCUGAACAACAACCCCAGUAUAUUCUGCACCACAAACUAUUCUUUACAAAGACUUGGCGAGUCUGGUUCACGUACAGUACAAGUUCAAUUCAGAAGUCGAGAAUAUCAUGACUCCCAUACCCGGUUGUGGACGCGUUCCGUACUCGUCACUGGCUUGUCAUCUAUAAAUACUCUCCGUCGUGACGACGUCGGUACUCUGUUCACAACAACCGUAGCAAACUGCUGGACACAGUAGAUGGCAUCCCAAUACUCGUCUACUCCUGAGGUUAACAAAAGAUGGCUUCUAGGAGUUCGAGGGGAGACUCAAGUAAUGAAGAAGUUGGCUAUAACACUGAUGAUGAAGAUGAAUGACAACAACAGUCUGCAAACAAGAAGCGCAAGGUUAG